CAGAGCGCAAAAGAAGUGUUCAAGAAGAUCACAGACACUGCCAAGGCUUCCAACAUUGAGCGGACGGAGGCGGGCUACGAGAGCAUGGCCCACUUCAUCAUCAACACGGAGGAUGUGGCCGACAUGCUGAGAGGCAUCAACUUCCAAACAGGUGAAGAUGGAGAAGACAGCGGUGAUGAAGCCCCUGAAGACCUGACCACCUCACCUGGUCAGACUGGUGAAUCAUUGAGACGCAUAUAACUUAUUUUUAAACCCAAGGUUAGUUUCAAAGAGGAUGUUUCCUUAAAGGAACAGUUCACCCUAAAAUAAAAAUGAAUUUAGUCACCCUAAUGUUGUUCCAAAUCUGUCUGUCUUCUGUGGAAUCAAACACUAAUGAAGCCAGUGACUUCCAUGGUAUAGACACGGAAAUAUCUUCUUUUUUAUGUUACAUAGAAGAAAGCAAUUCAGUUUUAGACUUUUCUUUGUACUUUACGUUAUAACUUUUAUUCAUGUACAUGAUGGUCUGAAAACUAUUUCGAACUGAACUCUAUAAAGCCUGCUGUAUCAUAUUUGAUAAACCAAUUUGUAAGGCCUCUAAAUGAUCCAUACCUUGCCUUAUUAUACACAAUCUGUCACACGCCUUCUGUCAUCUGUUUAUACAUUUUUAGCAAUUAAAAGGCAUUUUAGUAUAAUUCCGAAAACAUCCACCUUCUGGCUUGAGUCUUUUUGCUGUACAAUAUUGCUGUGAAAUCGACAGAUUUUUAUGAAGUAAGAAUCAUUUUUAUAUUGUUAGUAAUAUUUAAAGAUGAACACUUACUGGACUGAAGCAAG